AAUAUAUAAAAUGAACACUGCUGACAGGGGUCUUGGACGCUGAGUCUAUUUGUGGAAUCAUUUUCGUAAUUAUUGCAUAAGUAGGCUUAUAGUAAAUGACAGAAUCGCAAUGAAACGGUGCCUUUACUGCAAACAGUGACGGAAGCUUGCCUCCUUCUAAACCAGACGUCGGCCAAUUUGGUAAUUUUUAAAAUGUAAUUCUAAAUGUGAAGAUUAUGGUACUGUUGUAAAAAAAAUGUUUACUUGAUUUAUGUACUUAUUUACAUAUUUUAGUUUUAUUUGCCUGUUUUAUUUCUUUUUUUGUCUCUCAAAAAGCGGCUGACAGGUGACGUUUGUCGGUGUGCCAUUUAUCAAAUUUUUCAACCCCAUGGAACGCCAGACGCGACACAUAUGUAUAGCACUAGUGAGGACAAAACAUAAUGAGAUACCGAUAAAAGAGUGUAUAUUUAAAUAGUCUUUAAUUGUGCACAUCGGCAACAAAAAUAUCCUAUUAUGCUUGAAUGCACCACUUGGUUCACGUAAUCCCACUCGGAUGCAGGAAGGUCUAGCCACAACAGCCAAUCAGGAGCUACGCAGUUCACGCUCAGCCUAUCAGUGAGGAGGUGAGGUGCAGACGCGCUGUUUCUUCGGUGUUUCCAGUAUAAACAGCGGGAAGGAAAUUAGCUUUCGAAAUGGACGUAGAGGGGAGAAAAUGGCGAGUAAACUCUGAAAGAUAGACCAGUACACUUGCUGUGAGUCCUGAGCGUAAUGACUGAAUUAAGGGGACGAGUUAUGUCGGUCAGGUAUUUGAGAGGACGGGAAAGGACCAGGACGAGAUCCCAAUCGUAUUUGAUGAACCCUGAAGGAAAAGACACAGGCAAGGAGAUACAGAUCAUCUCCUCUGACAUUCUAACGUCUGCUGCUGCUGCUGCUACUUGGAGGUUACUGACAAAUAGACAGACGGACUGGAGCGUGUCUGCUGCAUUCCUCAGC